UACGUAGGGACCAAGCGUUGUUCGGAUUCAUUGGGCGUAAAGGGUGCGUAGGCGGCGCGGUAAGUCGGGUGUGAAAUCUCUGAGCUUAACUCAGAACGGCCAAGUGAUACUGCAGUGCUAGAGUGUGGAAGGGGCAAUCGGAAUUCUUGGUGUAGCGGUGAAAUGCGUAGAUAUCAAGAGGAACACCUGAGGUGAAGACGGGUUGCUGGGCCAACACUGACGCUGGAUGCGCGAAAGCCAGGGG
rnacentral:rRNA from 1 species